GAUGAACGCUGGCGGCGUGCCUAAUACAUGCAAGUCGAGCGAACGGACGAGAAGCUUGCUUCUCUGAUGUUAGCGGCGGACGGGUGAGUAACACGUGGAUAACCUACCUAUAAGACUGGGAUAACUUCGGGAAACCGGAGCUAAUACCGGAUAAUAUUUUGAACCGCAUGGUUCAAAAGUAAAAGACGGUCUUGCUGUCACUUAUAGAUGGAUCCGCGCUGCAUUAGCUAGUUGGUAAGGUAACGGCUUACCAAGGCAACGAUGCAUAGCCGACCUGAGAGGGUGAUCGGCCACACUGGAACUGAGACACGGUCCAGACUCCUACGGGAGGCAGCAGUAGGGAAUCUUCCGCAAUGGGCGAAAGCCUGACGGAGCAACGCCGCGUGAGUGAUGAAGGUCUUCGGAUCGUAAAACUCUGUUAUUAGGGAAGAAUAUAUGUGUAAGUAACUGUGCACAUCUUGACGGUACCUAAUCAGAAAGCCACGGCUAACUACGUGCCAGCAGCCGCGGUAAUACGUAGGUGGCAAGCGUUAUCCGGAAUUAUUGGGCGUAAAGCGCGCGUAGGCGGUUUUUUAAGUCUGAUGUGAAAGCCCACGGCUCAACCGUGGAGGGUCAUUGGAAACUGGAAAACUUGAGUGCAGAAGAGGAAAGUGGAAUUCCAUGUGUAGCGGUGAAAUGCGCAGAGAUAUGGAGGAACACCAGUGGCGAAGGCGACUUUCUGGUCUGUAACUGACGCUGAUGUGCGAAAGCGUGGGGAUCAAACAGGAUUAGAUACCCUGGUAGUCCACGCCGUAAACGAUGAGUGCUAAGUGUUAGGGGGUUUCCGCCCCUUAGUGCUGCAGCUAACGCAUUAAGCACUCCGCCUGGGGAGUACGACCGCAAGGUUGAAACUCAAAGGAAUUGACGGGGACCCGCACAAGCGGUGGAGCAUGUGGUUUAAUUCGAAGCAACGCGAAGAACCUUACCAAAUCUUGACAUCCUUUGACAACUCUAGAGAUAGAGCCUUCCCCUUCGGGGGACAAAGUGACAGGUGGUGCAUGGUUGUCGUCAGCUCGUGUCGUGAGAUGUUGGGUUAAGUCCCGCAACGAGCGCAACCCUUAAGCUUAGUUGCCAUCAUUAAGUUGGGCACUCUAAGUUGACUGCCGGUGACAAACCGGAGGAAGGUGGGGAUGGCGUCAAAUCAUCAUGCCCCUUAUGAUUUGGGCUACACACGUGCUACAAUGGACAAUACAAAGGGCAGCGAAACCGCGAGGUCAAGCAAAUCCCAUAAAGUUGUUCUCAGUUCGGAUUGUAGUCUGCAACUCGACUACAUGAAGCUGGAAUCGCUAGUAAUCGUAGAUCAGCAUGCUACGGUGAAUACGUUCCCGGGUCU
rnacentral:rRNA from 1 species